CUGAGUAAUGCAUAAAAGUCACACCCCAAAAUGUUAGAGGGUGGUGAAAAUGAUGCAAAUCUACCUCAUUUUCAUAAUGAACUUGACACGCAUACGUUGCAUCAUAAAGAGAGGCAUGGGUUGAAGUGUACGGUUGUUGGAAUUGGAGAACGCCUUGGGCAAGGAGCAUUCAAUUAUGAGUAAUUGUGACACUCCCAGAUCAUGUGUGGCUCUG